CCGGGAUGAGCUCAAAUUUAAAAUCUGGCGUCUUUCAGGCGUCCGAGUUGUAAUCUAUAGAGGCGUUUUCCGCGCCGGACCGCGUCCAAGUCUCUUGGAAUAGAGUAUCAAAGAGGGUGACAAUCCCGUACUUGACGCGACAACCGGUGCUCUGUGAUACGUUCUCAAUGAGUCGAGUUGUUUGGGAAUGCAGCUCUAAAUGGGUGGUAAAUUCCAUCUAAGGCUAAAUAUUGGCGAGAGACCGAUAGCGAACAAGUACCGUGAGGGAAAGAUGAAAAGCACUUUGGAAAGAGAGUUAAACAGCACGUGAAAUUGUUAAAAGGGAAACGAUUGAAGUCAGUCGUGUGAAAGGUAUUCAGCCGUCUCUGGCGGUGUAUUUGCCUUUCACGGGUCAACAUCAGUUUGAUCCGGUAGAAAAAGGCGGGAGGAAGGUGGCACCCUCGGGUGUGUUAUAGCCUCCUGUCAUAUGUGCCGGACCAGACUGAGGAACG
rnacentral:rRNA from 1 species